UGCCACAGCCCCACAGAGCGGCUCCAGCGCUGGGCUGCCAGCAUCGGUGCUGUGAGGAUGGGAGACCCCUUUGCCUACUGGAGCGGACCCCCAUCCCGCAAUGAAUAUGAAGACAGCCCCCACGGCCCCACCAGCUUCACCCGACCCAGUGCCAAAA